GCCUAACACAUGCAAGUCGAGCGAGAAAGCCCGCAAGGGUGAGUACAGCGGCGCACGGGUGCGUAACACGUGAGUAAUCUGCCCUGAAGCCCGGAAUAACCUCCCGAAAGGGAAGCUAAUACCGGAUGAGCCCACGGGGUCCUCGGACCCUGAGAGAAAAGGCGGCCUCUGUAUACAAGCUGUCACUUCAGGAUGAGCUCGCGGCCCAUCAGCUAGUUGGCGGGGUAAUGGCCCACCAAGGCUACGACGGGUAGCUGGUCUGAGAGGACGAUCAGCCACACUGGAACUGAGACACGGUCCAGACUCCUACGGGAGGCAGCAGUGGGGAAUCUUGCGCAAUGGGCGAAAGCCUGACGCAGCAACGCCGCGUGUGUGAUGAAGGUCUUCGGAUCGUAAAGCACUGUCGCGAGGGACGAAUAAGGGCCGGGUGAACAAUCCGGUUCGAUGACGGUACCUCGAGAGGAAGCACCGGCUAACUCUGUGCCAGCAGCCGCGGUAAUACAGAGGGUGCAAGCGUUGUUCGGAAUUAUUGGGCGUAAAGCGCGUGUAGGCGGCCUGGCAAGUUGGGUGUGAAAGCCCUCGGCUUAACCGAGGAAGUGCGCCCAAAACUACGAGGCUUGAGUACCGGAGAGGGUGGCGGAAUUCCCGGUGUAGAGGUGAAAUUCGUAGAUAUCGGGAGGAACACCAGUGGCGAAGGCGGCCACCUGGACGGAUACUGACGCUGAGACGCGAAAGCGUGGGGAGCAAACAGGAUUAGAUACCCUGGUAGUCCACGCCGUAAACGAUGAGCGCUAGGUGUUGUGGGUGUUGACCCCUGCAGUGCCGCAGCUAACGCAUUAAGCGCUCCGCCUGGGAAGUACGGCCGCAAGGCUAAAACUCAAAGGAAUUGAUGG
rnacentral:rRNA from 1 species